rnacentral:rRNA from 1 species
CGGGUGAGGAAUACAUCGGAAUCUACUUUUUCGUGGGGGAUAACGUAGGGAAACUUACGCUAAUACCGCAUACGACCUACGGGUGAAAGCAGGGGAUCUUCGGACCUUGCGCGAUUGAAUGAGCCGAUGUCGGAUUAGCUAGUUGGCGGGGUAAAGGCCCACCAAGGCGACGAUCCGUAGCUGGUCUGAGAGGAUGAUCAGCCACACUGGAACUGAGACACGGUCCAGACUCCUACGGGAGGCAGCAGUGGGGAAUAUUGGACAAUGGGCGCAAGCCUGAUCCAGCCAUACCGCGUGGGUGAAGAAGGCCUUCGGGUUGUAAAGCCCUUUUGUUGGGAAAGAAAUCCAGCUGGCUAAUACCCGGUUGGGAUGACGGUACCCAAAGAAUAAGCACCGGCUAACUUCGUGCCAGCAGCCGCGGUAAUACGAAGGGUGCAAGCGUUACUCGGAAUUACUGGGCGUAAAGCGUGCGUAGGUGGUCGUUUAAGUCCGUUGUGAAAGCCCUGGGCUCAACCUGGGAACUGCAGUGGAUACUGGACGACUAGAGUGUGGUAGAGGGUAGCGGAAUUCCUGGUGUAGCAGUGAAAUGCGUAGAGAUCAGGAGGAACAUCCAUGGCGAAGGCAGCUACCUGGACCAACACUGACACUGAGGCGCGAAAGCGUGGGGAGCAAACAGGAUUAGAUAUCCUGGUAGUCCACGCCCUAAACGAUGCGAACUGGAUGUUGGGUGCAAUUUGGCA